rnacentral:rRNA from 1 species
ACGAAAGUGACUUUAUUAACCCUGAACCCACGAAAGCUAAGAAACAAACUGGGAUUAGAGACCCCACUAUGCUUAGCCCUAAACAUAGAUUUUACCAUUCCGUCCGCCUGGGGAUUACGAAUCCCAUUUAAAACCCAAAGGACUUGGCGGUGCUUUACAUCCCCCUAGAGGAGCCUGUUCUAGAACCGAUGAUCCCCGUUCAACCUCACCCUCUCUUGCCCCCCCCCCCGCUUGUAUAUCUCCGUCGCAAACUUACCCUGCGAAGGACACAUAGUGAGUUUAAUUGAUACCUUACUCCAGAACGUCAGGUCAAGAUGCAGCUAAUGAGAGGGAUAAGAGAUGGGCUACAUUCCCUACUUCCAGGGAAAACGAAUGUUAUGAAUUGAAACAUCAAACUGAAGGUGGAUUUAGUAGUAAGCAGGGAACAGAGUGUCCUGCUGAAACUCGGCCCUAAAGUGUGCACAGACCGCCCGUCACCCUCCCCA